UAGGCAGAAGCCAAAGGGUGAGGCACCUAGCUGUUAACUAGGAUUUAAUGGGAUCGAGGCCCAUCUGUCUAG
rnacentral:tRNA from 1 species